CCUACGGGUAGCUGCAGUAGGGAAUAUUGCUCAAUGGGGGAAACCCUGAAGCAGCAACGCCGCGUGGAGGAUGAAGGUUUUCGGAUUGUAAACUCCUUUUGUUAGAGAAGAUAAUGACGGUAUCUACCGAAUAAUCCCCGGCUAACUCCGUGCCAGCAGCCGCGGUACUACGUAGGGUGCAAGCGUUACUCGGAAUCACUGGGCGUAAAGAGCGCGUAGGCGGGAUAGCAAGUCAGAGGUGAAAUCCUAUGGCUUAACCAUAGAACUGCAUUUGAAACUUUUAGUCUAGAGUAUGGGAGAGGUAGGUGGAAUGCUUGGUGUAGGGGUAAAAUCCGUAGAGAUCAAGAGGAAUACUCAUUGCGAAGGCGACCUGCUAGAACAUAACUGACGCUGAUGCGCGAAAGCGUGGGGAGCAAACAGGAUUAGAUACCCGUGUAGUC
rnacentral:rRNA from 1 species